rnacentral:rRNA from 1 species
GGGUUGUGAGGUUAAGCGACUAAGCGUACACGGUGGAUGCCCUGGCAGUCAGAGGCGAUGAAGGGCGUGCUAAUCUGCGAUAAGCGCCGGUAAGGUGAUAUGAACCGUUAUAACCGGCGAUACCCGAAUGGGGAAACCCAGUGUGACUCGUCACACUAUCAUUAACUGAAUCCAUAGGUUAAUGAGGCGAACCGGGGGAACUGAAACAUCUAAGUACCCCGAGGAAAAGAAAUCAACCGAGAUUCCCCCAGUAGCGGCGAGCGAACGGGGAGGAGCCCAGAGCCUGAAUCAGCAUGUGUGUUAGUGGAAGCGUCUGGAAAGGCGCGCGAUACAGGGUGACAGCCCCGUACACAAAAGCGCAUGUGCUGUGAGCUCGAUGAGUAGGGCGGGACACGUGGUAUCCUGUCUGAAUAUGGGGGGACCAUCCUCCAAGGCUAAAUACUCCUGACUGACCGAUAGUGAACCAGUACCGUGAGGGAAAGGCGAAAAGAACCCCGGCGAGGGGAGUGAAAAAGAACCUGAAACCGUGUACGUACAAGCAGUGGGAGCACAGGUUUACCUGUGUGACUGCGUACCUUUUGUAUAAUGGGUCAGCGACUUAUAUUCUGUAGCAAGGUUAACCGUAUAGGGGAGCCGGAGGGAAACCGA